rnacentral:tRNA from 1 species
GCCGGGUUAGCUCAGAUGGUAGAGCAGCGCAUUCGUAAUGCGACGGUCGAGGGUUCAAUUCCUUUACCCGGCACCA